CCCUUAGAUGUUCUGGGCCGCACGCGCGCUACACUGACAGAGCCAACGAGUUCAUCACCUUGUCCGAAAGGUCUGGGUAAUCUUGUUAAACUCUGUCGUGCUGGGGAUAGAGCAUUGCAAUUAUUGCUCUUCAACGAGGAAUUCCUAGUAAGCGCAAGUCAUCAGCUUGCGCUGAUUACGUCCCUGCCCUUUGUACACACCGCCCGUCG
rnacentral:rRNA from 14 species